AGACUGGGAACAUACAGAGGGCUGGGAAGUUGGCCUACAAGGGCCAGGAGUAACUCCACACAUUCUUCCCACACCAAACCCCACACCUCUCUUAACAUUUCCUAAACUGCAUCCUUUAAAAGCUGGCAAAUUUUAAGUCAGGAACUUGGUCGUGCCAGCCAGUUGGAAACAUUGACCCGUCUUCCCUUCGGAUUGUGGCAGAUAGGAUGGGUCAGUGGAUAAGUUUGCUUGCCAAGGAGCCUGAGAGAGAAGCCUGAGUCCAGUUCCUAGAACUCACAUGGUGGAGAGAACUGACUUCUGAAAGUUGUCCUCUGAUAUUCACCAGGGCGACCAGAAAAUUUUGUUCCAUGUGAGGCUUGCACAAGCUCCAGUGUUACAGUUCCACGAACCAGAGUUAUUUUAGAUAACCAGGACUUCUGCUGGAUUCGAACCUCGAAAGUGUUGUGUUUCCCUACCUCUAAAAGCAGACUGCUUCCUUGUUAUCCUGGGUGGCAGGGCCUGAGUUCUCUUUCCUUGUCUGGAUGUACUGCAGGCUAUCUCCCCUCAUCUAGGGUUGAAGCCAACCUGGAAAGCUCUCUUCUGACUCCUAUCAUCUAUCCUAUCCUGGCUCACCCAGCUCUCAGACUCUACUACAAGGAUUCCUUUUGAAUGAAACAAACAAACAAACAAACCAGAAAUAAAAAAAAAAGGCAUGA